AACGAACGCUGGCGGCAGGCCUAACACAUGCAAGUCGAGCGCCCAGCAAUGGGAGCGGCGGACGGGUGAGUAACACGUGGGAAUAUGCCUUUCGGUUCGGCACAACUCAGGGAAACUUGAGCUAAUUCCGGAUACGCCCUUACGGGGAAGAUUUAUCGCCGAAAGAUUAGCCCGCGUUGGAUUAGCUAGUUGGUGAGGUAACGGCCCACCAAGGCGACGAUCCAUAGCUGGUUGAGAGAACGACCAGCCACACUGGGACUGAGACACGGCCCAGACUCCUACGGGAGGCAGCAGUGGGGAAUCUUGGACAAUGGGGGAAACCCUGAUCCAGCCAUGCCGCGUGAGUGAUGAAGGCCUUCGGUUGGUU
rnacentral:rRNA from 1 species